rnacentral:rRNA from 1 species
AUGAUCAUGCAUGCUUUACUUCUUCUCUUCUGCUCCAUUGUUGUUUGUGUGCUACUUUGCUUGCUAUUUGUGUGCUCCAUUGAUUUGAUGCUUCAACGCUUGCUCUCGUGCAUUGCUAGGGCAAGUGGUAUGUCGUGUUCAUUGGUAAGGCUCCAGGGGUUUACAGUUCAUGGGAAGAAGCCAGUGCACAAGUGGCAUCGUAUAGCAACAGCAGUCAUAGAGGGUUCAAGACUAGGCAGGCAGCAGAACAAGCUUACUCCGACUGGGUGCGAAAGCACGGAGGCAGCAGUGUUGACAGUGGCAAGGUUGGAGGUGUUAAGGUGGAUCGUCAGUUUGGGCUGA